AUAUACCCCUGGGGAGUGACGGAUUACAAUUAUUACAAUCACUCGACCAUUGAGAAGCCCCUCAAUUCAAACCACGUCAGUUUGACAACAGUUGUCAUUUUCAUUUUUGUUUAUGUUUUUGUUAUGUUUUUCUGUUUUUCCCUCGCGUGCCGCACAGCAACAACUUUUUCGGUUCUACUGAUCCGCCAGCAGCGGAUAAAGAAAGGAAGUGACUCAUCCUCGUCCGGUCAGCAGUACGGGUCCGACUUGGACACGCUGGACGUAACGAACAUGUACCCGCAAAACCUGUUGACGAUUCCGGCGCACCAUCAUUUUGAAAGGCAAAUUUCCGAACCGAUCAUUCCAACAUCGCCGGCCGUAUCGUCUCCACCGGGAGCGCGAUCAGCACCCGCGGAUCGUUCACACGGUGGACAUCAUCUCACCGUAUCUUGCAAGAACAUGUGAAACAACACUCCCACCCAUUGUUGCCAAGGCGUUUCAGAACAAGUUUCAUCAGCUGUAUGUUCCGACGACGCCUCUGCCCUUGAUGAUAAUCCAGAAUAAACACCGUUUGCCGUUAGCGUGCACUUUUAUCAGGUAGAGCGUAUUAAAGUAUCAUGCAAAAGAACCGGAUCGUAAAGUGUAAGUCCAGUCCACUAUCGUUGAUUGAUAAGUGGUGUGCAAUCUACCGUGAAGACGCCGGGCACUGAUUCAUUUGGAAAGCUCCUGAGAUGGACUUAGUUUGUCGAAAAAGGGGUUUAGCGAUUGCUUAUUUCUCAUUAGUGUUCUGCCAGAAUGCCACACCAGUUCAUCCUCUUCGGCCUUGUCGGUCUCUCGGUCGGUCUUCCUUGACAGACGGAUGUUAUCACUGUAAGUGCAUCAAAAGACUGCACAAGGCACAUCAACAAUAAGGAAUGCUUAGACAACGUCAAUGAAUGCGGUUUUCAAAUCUAUCCGACCAUGUCACCUUCCGAAAGCUAAGAAAAAACGGAACUAUCACGCAUCAAUUGCAUAUUAAAGUGUUGACUACACGAUUCACAUAGUGAUUGGACUCUGAUUGUGAUAUGAUGAAAUACUCCCCUGAUGUUUCCGUCCUUCAGCUACCUGCAUCAGUAGCCUAUUCCUAUGUCUAUAGAGUUCGUGAAGAGGAAGACGGUAAAUCCGAACAUAUGAUUCAGGUUUCGGAAAAACCGAUCAAGACGGAUCAACAGGAGUACAACACGAUAAACGGAAGCAGCAAACGGGAAAAAAAAACAUUUCGUCAUCAUGAAAUCAUUCGAACUACAGAAAUACUAACCCAGAUCAAAGCUAGUUGCCACCGACAUAAGAAUCAACAACAACUCGGACAUUAAAAUCAUCGAACGGGAAAUAAAAUAGGCAAAUUGUAUGCAUGUAAUUACGCUAGCUUGGUGUUGCCGAAUCUUAAUGACUCGAAAGAUAAGCAGAUUGUGAAGGACGGCAUCCGGCGACACCCUUGGUCACGAGGUAUAUUGUUCUGAGCCAUAACCGGGUAGCUCCAAUAUUGACAAAUACUUAUCACGGCAACUAACAGCUGUUGCUGCUUGAUGACAACGGACUGUUCGGAAAGCGUCGGGCAAAGAACUUGUUAUUAAUUUAUGAAAAGUGUCUCUUUCCAACGUCAAUCUUGAACCUUUGACAACUGUGAACCGGAUAACAUUUUGCAUGCCCCACCGACGAUUGUUCAAGUGAGGGAUGAUAGUGGCUAUCAACCACCAACCGUGAUGACGUUGCUAGGUUUCAUACUUCCUCUCGUAAGUCGUUCUAAACGCCGAACAUCCUCUAAAAUUGUCACACGAUGUCCUUGCUGAAGCAUUUCUUACCUAUAGGUAUAGAAUUCUUAACUUGAAUUUAAACCUUUCAACGCCACCCUUUGGGAACAUAGCUUCGAAGUUUAGCCAUUGCUUUAACCUUGCAAUAACUCGACACGGACUAUAUACUAGGAUUUAGCGAAUAAGUUCUUCGGAACAGCUGCUUAGAGAUGAAGAUAUCUGUGGGGCCAGUAUGUCUUGGAGUUUUACACCUGUGAAAAUUUCUACUAGUCCUAGAUAUUCUACAACGGCAUAAACUAAACGAUAGUUAUUUCCAAUGCUAAGGUUCGACUUCAAACGAUGUGUGUCAUCUACUACAGAGACAGCUCAUACGACUGUAGCUUAUCGGCAACACAUGGAACAUGGGUCAGUAGGGAUAGUUUCAACAAUAGUGUAGCUGUAGAUAUAAAGACAGCACUUCGAACUUCCGUUUCAGAGCCAUACAUGAUUUCGCCGGAGACGAUAUUUAACGUAACGUAAAAUUCCUAAACUGUCUGUAUUGAAA